rnacentral:rRNA from 1 species
GCGGCGUGCUUACACAUGCAAGUCGAACGGAAAGGCCCCUUCGGGGUGUACUCGAGUGGCGAACGGGUGAGUAACACGUGGGUGACCUGCCCUGCACUUCGGGAUAAGCCUGGGAAACUGGGUCUAAUACCGGAUAGGACCGCAUCGUGAGGAUGUGGUGGAAAGUUUUUUCGGUGCAGGAUGGGCCCGCGGCCUAUCAGCUUGUUGGUGGGGUAAUGGCCUACCAAGGCGGCGACGGGUAGCCGGCCUGAGAGGGUGGACGGCCACAUUGGGACUGAGACACGGCCCAGACUCCUACGGGAGGCAGCAGUGGGGAAUAUUGCACAAUGGGCGCAAGCCUGAUGCAGCGACGCCGCGUGGGGGAUGAAGGCCUUCGGGUUGUAAACUCCUUUCAUCAUCGACGAAGGGCUCACUUGUUGUGGGUUUGACGGUAGGUGGAGAAGAAGCACCGGCUAACUACGUGCCAGCAGCCGCGGUAAUACGUAGGGUGCGAGCGUUGUCCGGAAUUACUGGGCGUAAAGAGCUCGUAGGUGGUUUGUCGCGUCGUCUGUGAAAUUCCGGGGCUUAACUCCGGGCGUGCAGGCGAUACGGGCAUAACUUGAGUGCUGUAGGGAGACUGGAAUUCCUGUGUACGGUGAAAUGCGCAAAUAUCAGGAGGAACACCGAUGGCGAAGGCAGGUCUCUGGGCA